AACCUUAUGGACCUGCGGGCGUAUACCUGCGGAAGGAUCAUUACCGAGUGCGGGCCCUCUGGGUCCAACCUCCCACCCGUGUUUACCGUACCCUGUUGCUUCGGCGGGCCCGCCAGCCCUGGCCGCCGGGGGCUUCUGCCCCGGGCCCGCGCCCGCCGAGGACACCAUCGAACGCUGUCUGAAGUCUGCAGUCUGAGUGGGUUAGCGAAAUCAGUUAAAACUUUUAGCAAUGGAUCUCAG
rnacentral:misc_RNA from 1 species